GAACGAUGAACCACUUCGGUGGGGAUUAGUGGCGAACGGGUGAGUAACACGUGGGCAAUCUGCCCUGCACUCUGGGACAAGCCCUGGAAACGGGGUCUAAUACCGGAUAUGACCGUCUUGGGCAUCCUUGAUGGUGUAAAGCUCCGGCGGUGCAGGAUGAGCCCGCGGCCUAUCAGCUUGUUGGUGAGGUAACGGCUCACCAAGGCGACGACGGGUAGCCGGCCUGAGAGGGCGACCGGCCACACUGGGACUGAGACACGGCCCAGACUCCUACGGGAGGCAGCAGUGGGGAAUAUUGCACAAUGGGCGAAAGCCUGAUGCAGCGACGCCGCGUGAGGGAUGACGGCCUUCGGGUUGUAAACCUCUUUCAGCAGGGAAGAAGCGCAAGUGACGGUACCUGCAGAAGAAGCGCCGGCUAACUACGUGCCAGCAGCCCGGGGGUAAUUCA
rnacentral:rRNA from 1 species